GUUUCCAGAUCAGCCCCAUAAAGCACCUCUAUCUCUUCAGUCGCUUUCUCUACAAUCCGCCAAUAUUCUCCUUCAAUAUUCUCCACAGUUGGCUCCCAUUUAUCAUGAAGAACUGCCAUGUUACCUCCCUUAUUCAUAUCAUUCUUCCUGAAAUACUGGGCAGUGAAAUCAUCCGCAUAUUUCUGAAAUGUGUACAGAGUAAACUCUGGACCAGGUCCAAACCCAAAACACUCAGCCUCACAAACACCAGCAUCAUUAUACCCUGAGACAUUUCCAAUAUCUGCCCCACAAUGUACUGCCAUUCUCAUGCAUGUUCUCCUUUUCUUUCUGGUGUGGUUAUAUAGCUUUGACAUUUUUUUCAUUGAAGCUCGAUUCUGCAGUU
rnacentral:misc_RNA from 1 species